AUCCUCUGGCUAAAUUU
rnacentral:sRNA from 1 species